rnacentral:lncRNA from 1 species
UAUGCCUUGCUGUCAAGCCCACACAAACACACACAUAUCCACAGCAUUUAUUUCUUUUUUCCCUCUUUUUCUUUCAUAAAAUUUUCUCAUCUUCUAUAAUCAAAACACGCAAAAAUAAGUAGAGAGAGAAAACGAGAGAGAGAGGCAGCAGAAGGGGGGAAGGUGGGGGUGCAGCAACGCUUUCAGGCUGAGCCCACGACCCAUAGUGUGUCCAUAUGCGGCGAAGGAUUGGGUCCACCGCCUGUACGUCAUUGCCUCCGUUCUCUUUUCUCUCUCUCGUUUCAGUAUCUUUUUACUUGCUUUUGGACAAAUAUAUCUUCGUCACCCCUGCACGGUAAUAGAAUUUAAAUAAAUUUAAAUAUUAACAAUAGUCAAGCUUAUUAUACCAAGAAUUAUUAAAUAUUCUCCAAUGCUAAUUAGAAUAUGUGUAAAAUUUGUGGUCGAUAUAGAUGUUAUGUUUUCAUCCAAACAAAACACAACAAACGAACAUUGAUUAGGUAAGAAAUUAUGGAACCUGAUGGCUUAAGAACAGGCAUAUAUAGUAACAUUAAUUCUAGAAAAUAAGAACAAUUCAAUGAAAAUGAUAUAUGUGUAGCCAACAAAAUGUUUGAUUUUUCAGUUUUCAUCUUAUACUUGUUGACUGACUUUCUGUCAGUGAAGUGUAGAUUGUGCAAGUUUAUGUCCAUGUUUGAACUCUUUAGCGAUGAAAGUUGAUAAAAUUUGACGAAUCUCAUUAAAUAUUUGAUUAAAAGGUGGAUAUAAGUUCGUGAUAAGAAGAAACGGGUGAUUAGAAAUUCAAUUUGACCAAUUUUUCAACAAAAAGUAGCUUUAUCAAACAAGCCUUAUUGUAUGUUGGGUCCAAUUUAAAUUAAAGUAAAAUAAAGGUGAGUAAAUUAAGACUGAAUUACCUAACUUUUUAAAUCGUACAAUUAUGAAUUUUAAACCUUCAAAAGUACAAUUUUUGAUUUUGAGGUAUAUGUUAGUGUAGAUUAAAAUCUAAAAUCAAAAUCAAUAAUGAACUUUUCAACAAUAUAUUUCAUCAUUUAUCAAAAUUUACUCGAAUUCUGAUUUUGAUUUUUACCAAACAGAGGCAUAACCAUUAUUAAUGUUAAGGUUAAAAUCUCGCACAAUUUUCACACAACUAACAAUUAUAGGACAAUGUAUGAACACAUAUCUUCAAUUAAAAUGAUAGCUACGUGUAAUUUUAAUAUCUAAAUUGACGAUUUUCAUCAUGUGGGGAUUCAAACCACGUAUUCACACUCAAUGAAAAAAGUGUGGAGCUCAAUCCUAAUAUAUAUAUAUAUUUCAAUUUUUUCGACUUUUUAAUUACACAUUUUUCAAAAAUUCAUUAUCCUAAAUCUCAUUUUACUGUUUAAUAGUAGAUAAAUGGGGCUAAAUAAUGAAGGGAAACUGGGGUGGUCACAUCUUGAUAUGGUUAGGGUAAUUGAGCUGUUGACAACCAUGGCCCACGAGAAGACCUAAUGAUCCCAAUCCAACCAAUAAGGAUAAAGUAUCACAGAAAACUAGACACUAAUUAUGCCACGUAAGAUUAGGUCUUAAUCACAAGAAAAUAAUAAAAGAUUAAAAAUUAAAUCAUUUCGUUUAAAAGUUGAAUAUACAUCUAACACUACUAACUUUUAGAAACAAGUGAUUAUAUAACUUAACCACAUUAUAAUUUUGUGAUAGAAUUGCAACCACUUUGUCGGAAAGUAAGAACCGACAAAUUUCUUUAUUUUGGAUUUUAUCCUCGGUGGGAAUAUAAGUGGGAUAAAGUUAUAUAACUUUUUUUUAAAUUAAAUAUUUUGAUCGAUUUGUCGUUACGAUGAUUUAAUGUAUUCCAUUUAAAUAUAUAAAAUUGUUUGUUUUCAGAUUAUAAACUAAAUUCAGGUGAAUUUUUUUAAUCGGGUAACGAUUGAAAUGUUCUAAUUUUUCCUACACAAUAAAAUUAUGUGUUCUCAACUCAAUUACAUUAAUAGAUUCUUGAUAAUUUAGUACCUUAUAAAUUAAUAAUAUCGACUAAAUAAUAUUUUUAAUCGGAGUUAACUUGGGAAUAAAGUGUUAACUUAAUAUUCACUAAAAUUAUAAAAUAAUACAUUGUAAAAAUAAAAAUAGAAAAUCUAUAGAUAUUACUUUAAAUUAAUAAUUUUUUAAUGCAAUUACUUAUGUUUCGACUAUGAGACCUUACUAAAAUAUGACUUUGUCGUUAUUUAUUUUAUUUUAUUUGAAAUUGAUGUCACCUUGAACCUCAUCUCUAACUUUCGUGAUGAAAGCCAUUAUAGUGUGUGUGUGUGUGUAUAAAGAGAGAGAGAGUAAUGAAUACAGUCUAUAAUAUUUAAGAAAAUAAAGAAUAUCUUAAUAAAUUGAUAAUUUAUUUAUUAAUCGAUUGAAAAGUCUAUCAAGUAUAUUUUCUUUGGUCCCAAAACUAUAAACUUUAAAUAUUUAACUGUAUAUCAAAUUAUUUGUAAAAUGUACCAAACAUGUUUCUAUAUUCUAAUUUUUUUUGUUUUUAGUGCAUGUUUGAUGUAAAUUUUUAGCGAAUAAAGUUGUUUCGCGCGUGUUAGUCGCUAACAAUUAAAAGGGAUCAGACGAUUGUGUAAAAGACAAACCUCUUGAGACAAAGUUCCAAAAAAGGGUGUUCUUUAUUGGCGAUGACUUUACAAUUGGAAAUUAAAAACAGAAUGCCUCCAAGGGGCGCAAGCACACGAAUUACUGAAAGAAGUGUUUAAAUAUAAGCUAAAGAAUUUAAAAUUACAUGUUCUCUGUUCGAGAGUUUUUGAUUCGGUCCUUUUGCUCUAUGUCUUUUCUUCCUUUUAUACUCCCUGGAUGAUCUCUUUGUGAUCAACCGCCUAAAAACUACUUGAUCGUUCUACAACUGCCCACUUUCCUUGUAAUGGCCAACUUAUCAUGGAACUGUCUUUUUUAACUGCUGCCAUUACUCUUCGUCGUUCAACCGUUUUCGAUUGAAUUUCUUGAAUCGUGGAACGUGAUAAGGCUGCUUUAAUAACUGAUUUGAUAACUGCACUUCUUGAUAACCACAACACUUUAUGCUUGCUAAGACCUUGGGCGACUCGAAGGUUUGGGCGAGAAUAGAGUAACAGCUCUGGGCGACUGCAUGGCACUCCAUUCGCUCAGAUUCUGGGCGACUUGCAAACUUGGGCAAUGGCGUUACCGCGUUCUUGGGCCUCCCUAUUUGGGCCUUCAUCUUGAAUUGUUCCAACUCUUGCCUCGACUUUGUCACCAUCAUUAUACUUAUUUCGACGUCACUAUUCACAAAAUUCUUCCAACAAUUCGAUUAUUCUUAAGUUAAAUACCUAAAUGGGUAUUCGGAUAUUAAAUCGAGAACUGUUUAAUUCGGUUUUCGAUUCUAGAUGAACUGAAUUUCUCUAAUUUUUUUAAAUUUUUUUUUUAUAUUAUUACAUAAGCCAAUUUUUUUAUAAAAAAAAUUCUAAAUAAAUUUGUCAACUAGUUAAUUAAGUCCAAAAAUAUCAUUUUCCUGUUUCAUUUGCCAAAAUUAAUUGAACCCACUCAAGAAGCUACUGAUGGAAAUUUUGACAUUUUAAAUUAGUGGAAUGAUCAAUAAAUCAAAAUUUGAAUUUUUAAUCUAAGAUUGUAAGGGAUGUACUUGUCAUUCCCGUAUCUACAGUUGCUUUUGAGUCAGCAUUUAGUAUUGAAUGGUGCAUUCUUGAUCCAUAUAAGAGUUCUUUCAGUUUUAAAAUAGUUGAGGCCUUGAUUUAUACACAAAACUGGUUAAGGGAGUCAUCUAGAUUUUUGCAAGUUUUCCAAGAUAAAAUUUGCAAUGAAAAAACAAGGUUCUACGAAGAUAUUGAGACAGUUAAUAAAAUAUAUAUUAUUUUUUUCAUGUUAAAUCUUAUUAGUUAGACAAAUUUUCAUUUACUUAUAUUUUGUUAAUUUUACUUUUUCAAUUAUUUAUUGUAGAAUUUCCGAGUGUAAUAAAUCAAGCAAUGGAUGAUUAGUUUAACGGUAAUGCUAUUUGUAUAUAAUGGAAUACAAAAUGAUGACAUGAAAUAUCAUUAUGUACAAAUAACGUUACACUUUAAUUUAAAUGGUUGGAAAGUACUUGUAAUACUUAAAAAUACUUUAUUUCUGUAACUUCUAAUUUAUAUUUCAUUUAUUUUAUGUAGAUUUGAAGACUUGAAGUAAAUGAAUUGAUGAGAUGGAAUCAUCGAAGUUUUAGCAUUAUUAUUUACUUUUUGAUAAUUUGCAUAUAUUGGUGAAUGUAUCUUAUUAGACAACUUGUUAUUUGUAUAAUUUUAAAUUGAACUACAUUAUUUUGUAAGAGUUAAAAUUGGGUAUGUCAUUAGUCAGAGUAUUGUAAUGUUAUUGUAAAUGUUAAAAAAUUUAGCCCCAAUUUGGUCCCCAUUAAAUUAAAUUUCAUUUUUCUCUCUUCUAUUUUCAACAAUAUAGUCUUCCAUAAAAUAAUAUUACACGUAAAUCUAAAACUUUUUUCAACCAUAUAUAUAUAUAUAGUUUUUAAAGCAAAAACAAAAAACAACACAUUUUUUUCUAGGAAUUAAUUCCUCCCUCGUCUAUUUGUCUGAAAAUUUAAGAAAACAUAAAACAAGUCCCACAAAAGUUAUACAUAAAAUAAGUUGUCCUGCUAAAACAUCUACUUCUUCAAAGUUGGAUUGGCUCCAUCAACAAAGCAAGCAUCCCCUUGAACAAAAUCGAAAUUCCUGCAAUAAUCAUAACAAGCAUUUAGCAACUAAUUUUUCAAGAAUAAACAUCUAUUUGGUUUAGUUACAAAAAUCGAUAAAAAUUUAAGUCUAAAUCGAUAAUUAACUUUAACCACAUAUUUUAUGGGAUCCUCAAUUUUACGACCAUACGUAUCAUCAACUUUUAACAAAAUAUAUUAAAAUUCUUAUUUUUAGUUAAACCAAGAAAGUGGUAAAUUUCAUACAAAUCUUGAACAUGUUUCAUGUAGAUUUUUUUAUAAUAAAUUUUGUGAAAGCGAUAUUUUAGAGAAUGUGUACCAAAUAUAAAUUUGUUUCGCAAUCUUUUCAAUAUUGUAAGAUCAUGAAAAAUGUGCCAAAUAUUGUAAUUAGUAUAAAAAAAAAAAACAGCACCCGUGACUUGUACAGGACAAUGCAUGUAAAGACAGGAACCAAAAUGAAAGGAAAUAAUUGCUGAGAAGGACAAGACCAUGGGACGGGAGAAAAGGGUUAGCCCUAAUGUUUUUCAUAAAUUCUCAACAUUGUCUUAAUUAUAGAUAUUAGCCUCUCAUACAAUCUCAAAUUUUGUUAUUAAUAUGAUAUUUCUACACAUGUUAAUUAAAUCCUAGAUCCUUCAAUAACCAUUGAUAUAUAUAUAUUUUUAAUUUUCUCUACAUACAUAAUUGUUUCAUCUAGCUAGUGUAUAAUCACAACAAUUAGAUAAUGACAACCUUAUGAAUAAACAAUCGUCUGGAUUUAAGAAUUCAAAAUUGAUUGAAAUACUUUUUUGAAAAAUAUGAAGCCCCUAUUUGGUAUAAAUUAAUUUAAUGAAAAUUUAAGUUAAAAUCAAUAAAUAAUUUUAAUCAUACAUUUAAUGGAACCUACAACUUUUCAACUAUAAAUUUCAUUAACUUUUAUCAAAAUCUACUUAAAAUACAUUCAAAUAAGUAUUUGAAGGUUCAUUUUUUUAGCUUAAGUUUAAUAAGUAAGUAUUUGCGUUCAAGCGCAAAUAAGGAAAAUAAGGACUACAAUGCGAAAACACUCAAGAAAACAACUGACCCACUCCAAAUAAGACUGACAAAAACAAAAAGUAAAGAUUCGUGUGAAUUAAAUUCCCAUUCUUCUUCUUAUUUUCCUUCUUUUUUUUUUUUUAAUACUGAAAUCAUGGCAAAAAGCAAAUUAUUUGACGCACCUGUACUUUCAUGCUUUCUCUCGUUCAUAUAUUUUUCUUCAUUGAAAGUGCCCGCCUCCGAAAGGUUGGUUUUUCGGCGCAGUCUUUCCUUCUGAAUCCAUAGAGCUCAAAGUCAUGCCAUGUUGCUGUUCUCUCUGCCCAAAUCCACCACUUACAUUUCUCACUAUCUCCCCAACGAGCCCGACUCCAAGAAAAUCUCUCGUCAAUCUACCUUGCUCCAUGUUGCUGAAACUUGGACUCUGGCGUUUCUCCAAUGGCUGCUCAAAGCUGAGUUUAUUGGUCGUGCUGUAUCCUCCAUAGUCAUUCUCUUGUUCAUUACCACCAUAUGGAUGAGUGUUGAUCCCUACGGGGUUGCCUCCGAAAAUGGAUGAAUUUCCACCAGUUAUGGAACUCAUUAGGUCAUUGAAAUGAUUCCCAUUAUUCUCCCCGAAGAUCGUUCCAAAGUUAGUCGCGGAAUGAAGAGGAUAAUCGCAUUUUGUGACGCUUGAGGAUGAGGUGCCGAAGCUUUUCAGCAGUGAAGCACUGGUGUUGCUUGUUGUCGAACCCAGUUGAGCAGCCUUCUGAAGAAGUGCAGUUGCAGACAUUUGUGUCGCACUGAUUGACUGGCUUUGAAGGGAUGAGAUGUAGAGGGAAGGAAUAGAAGCACUCAUGUGAUCAGUAUUCAUGAGAUUACCUGCAGAGAAAAGGCUGGAUCCUUCUCCGCCUCCAGUGCCACUGGAAUGUCCAUUGUUGAAAUGAUUGGGAAACAAUAAGGAUGAAGAUAUGUUACUGCUGUUAUUGCUGUUGCCAAUGCUAUCGUUAUUGUCGAUGCCACUAGUGUUCGAAAAGAAGCUGAGGUUAAACAGACUGGUUGUUGACGAAGAUGAGUUGGGAUUUUUCUGAAGUUCAGGAAGUUGCAAUAGGCCAUGAAGUGACUUAUUCGACGGUAGCCCAUGUGAAGAUUGACUAUCAUGGCUCGAUUCGGGCAGGAAGAGAGCUGAAGAAGGCAAUGUUUGGGAAGGCUGAAAGGUUGAGCCAAUGAGGGUAUCGAAUUGGCCAGAUCUUCCACUACCCAAGUGUAGUAAAUCAGCUGAUAUUGCUUGCUGCUGGUUUUGAUCAUGUCCGGUGGACAUUUGGGAGAUGCCUAAGCUCAUGUUGCUACUGCCAAAUAAAUGGCUGCCAAUGCUUCUUAAUGAGGUUGGAUUGAGGUUUCUUGCACUCUCUUGAGCAAGUGCAUCGCAGAAGGCCCUAUGGGUGAUGAAACUGUCACGCCUGCAACAAUAUGAUCAUUAGGCGAAUUUGCCACUUUGCCAGAAGAAAUUUUACAGAUACAGUGACAUUAUCGGAGGUGGCAACAGAUGCUUUGAUGAAAAAAUUGACUGUGUUUAAAACAUUCCACUAACAGAAUGCCACUUGUUAUUAUGACAAGGAUUAUCUCACGUAUCAUGACUCCCAUUAGACAGCAGUUGCACAAUUUUUCUUUUGAAAAAACAAUCGAUCGGUGAGGUAAAUCUCCAUCUCAACAGUAUCAUUAAUUAGGGUUCACUAAGAAACAAGAAUUAUACAAGGGUUUUUUCGCUCGAACUGAUUAAAACAAAUAAGAGGGUAAAACAAAUUUAAUUUUAUAAUAUAAAAUAACCUUGUUUUAUUACAUAGUCUUGAACUGGAGAAUCCUUAUAGAUUAUAGUUGGUAGAAUAAGUUUGAAAUUUGUAGAUAGUUUAUCACUUUCAGAAAUAUAUAUAGUGAAAAAAUUGAGAAUGAAAAUGUUAGGUGACAGAAUUUCUAAAAUUCUUUAAUGAUUAAUCAAUCAACAAAGUCCUACCAUAAGUUUUGUAAAAUAAAAAAAACUUGCAGAAUCAUCAUAUGGUGAAAAUAAUCAAUCAAACAGUCAUUUAGGUAUUGAAUUAAAGUACUCCACAAGUUAAGAACACAAAUCCUGGUACCAAAAAAAUAAUAAUAAUAAAAAUAGAAAAAAAAAAUCGAGAACACUGCUUCAAAACCAAAUAAUUGCAUUAUGUCACUGUGUAUGUAUGUGACUGAGAGGUGAUAGAUGAAUUAGAUUAUAGUCUCAAAAUGUUAUCAUGAAAAGUGUUAUCUGCAAGAAUACAGACCUAAACGAAUCUAGCCAACCCAUAAGAGAACAAACCUGGUAAAGAUUAAACUUUUACACACUGAUGAAUAAGUAAAAAAAGUUAAAAACCUCAAUGGGACAAAGGAUGGUUGUCCCCAUGAAGGCAAGGUAGAGAGAUAUACAUGUGUUUUUUUGACAACCAUGGCGUUUUUUCCAAAGAUAAAUUCACGUGCAGUCAUUUUUUUCCACAAAGGAUCCAAAAACAAGAGAAAAUCAAAACUCAACCAAAAGUUUAUGCAGAGAUAGAAAGAAAGGGCCAUUUUCAUGAGAAUCUGUAAGCGAUUAAAAAGACUUUUUACUUGAUAUAAUCAAAAGCCCUAAAAGGCUAAAACCGAAGAAGACAAGCGUUUCUCUCUUUACCUCUACAUCUGUGUAAGAAUUCCAGGUUCACUUACUUAGCAUCUUUCUUGAAUGAAAUCGAAACCAACCCAACAAAUUAAUAACUACAGUGUAAAGAAGUGAGUUAGCUUAGAAACCCAGAUCGAUAUGAUUUAUGAUUAAUUUUACCUUGAGAAAAGAGUGCCACAGUCACAUCUGUACUCUCUAGUACCACAGGUUUUUGAGUGAGCUUUCCAAUCAGAAUGUACUGCAUAUUUCUUAGAGCACUUUUCGCACUUGAACUUCUUCUCUCCAUGUUUUCUUGAGUAAUGCUUCUUAAUACCAGUGAGGUCUCCAAGUGCUCUUGAAUGGUCAUGGUGUACACAUGUGGGCUCUGGACACAAAUACACCUUACGCUUAACCUCUUUUGUUGUCUUCUGCUUUAGUUUCCAAGGCAGGUUGUGUCCUCUUCGGUGCAGUUGAAGGUUUUGCUCCCUUUGAAACCCUUUGUUGCAAACCUCACAAAGGAAUCUGUUUGUAGCCAUUAGGGUCUUGGGAGAUAGUGCUAUCACCUCUGCAUCUAGAUCUGUUAUCAAAUUUUAUUUUUUUAUUUUUUUUGAAAAAAAAAUAAUAAUAAAUCCAUUUCAAUUCUUGUUUAAACCAUUCAAAUUUAGGGUUUUCUUGAAAUGAAAACUGAAAGCUUAUCAGAUAAUUGGAUUCAAGUUUUUGGUACUUGCUUGACGUUCCAGGCUGAUUUUUUCUUCUCUUUGGCGGCGGGGGCGGUGGAGCGGUUGAUGAAGAUGGUGCUGAUGAAUGAUUUUGUUUCAUCUGAUUCUGUUCUUGGUCUCUCAUUGCAAGAAAAGGUGCCGCUGCUGAUGAAGAAGAAGCUGCCAUUGAAUCAAUCCCUUGUCGUACUAAUUAAUCAACCCCGUCAAUAUAUAUUCACAUGCAAUUUGAGAACUUUCCAAAUCUUAUCCCAGAAUUCAUGAACAACUUCUUCUUCUCAACUCCUAGCUAUAUAUGCAAAUUAAUCAAAAAGUAAAACCAAAAACAUAUCAUCCGAACUACACACAUAUAUAUAAGCAACCAAAAUCAAGCAAAAUAUUAAAAGAGAAAGAGAGAGAGAGAGAGAUGCAUAUAUCAACCCAUGGCUGGCUAGCUAGAGCUAAAAAUGCUAUCUUCCUUUUUCCUUAAAUGAAAUGAAGUUUUCGAAAAAGAUGCCGUACUCAGGUUCAUCUAUAUGCCUUGCUGUCAAGCCCACACAAACACACACAUAUCCACAGCAUUUAUUUCUUGUUUCCCUCUUUUUCUUUCAUAAAUUUUUCUCAUCUUCUAUAAUCAAAACACGCAAAAAUAAGUAGAGAGAGAAAACGAGAGAGAGAGGCAGCAGAAGGGGGGAAGGUGGGGGUGCAGCAACGCUUUCAGGCUGAGCCCACGACCCAUAGUGUGUCCAUAUGCGGCGAAGGAUUGGGUCCACCGCCUGUACGUCAUUGCCUCCGUUCUCU